rnacentral:piRNA from 1 species
UGAGAAAUAAAGGGACAGAGCUCAAA